rnacentral:rRNA from 1 species
AAUAUUCCGCAAUGGACGCAAGUCUGACGGAGCAACGCCGCGUGAGUGAUGAAGGCCUUUGGGUCGUAAAACUCUGUCUUCAGGGAAGAACCCUUAGCAGUUGAAUAAGCUGUUAAGCUGACGGUACCUGAGGAGGAAGCCCCGGCUAACUACGUGCCAGCAGCCGCGGUAAUACGUAGGGGGCGAGCGUUGUCCGGAAUCAUUGGGCGUAAAGCGCGCGUAGGCGGUUAUUUAAGUCAGACGUGAAAAACCUGGGCUUAACCCAGGUCUUGCGUUUGAAACUGGAUAGCUUGAGGGCAGGAGAGGAUAGUGGAAUUCCUAGUGUAGCGGUGAAAUGCGUAGAUAUUAGGAGGAACACCAGUGGCGAAGGCGACUAUCUGGCCUGUACCUGACGCUGAGGUGCGAAAGCUGGGGGAGCGAAC